GAAAUGACGAAAUCCUGUCCACAUACACAUUGGGACUUGUCUUCUUCCUCUCCAUAUGAGUGAACUACUAUUAAUUAAGUAGCCUUUUAGAAAAAGAAUAAACAGUCAAGAAUUGAUAUGACAUCGCAAAAAAUAACUAAAGAGGUUUGAUUGAGAAAACUUUACCGUCUAUAACUAGGCUAUGUCAGCAGCAUAUGGCUGCUGCGUCCGGUAGUGCUCAAUUUCUGUUCACCGGCGAGAUUCCGGUCAAGGAAGCCG
rnacentral:lncRNA from 1 species